UAAGCGGAGGAAAAGAAACUAACUAGGAUUGACGUAGUAAGGGCGACUGAACUGUCACUAGCUCACCGUGUGAAUCUGCGUUCAUUUUGUGCGCCGAAUUGUGGUCUGGAGGUUCUUGCGCUAUGUCACUAGGCAAAGUCCCUUGGAACAGGGCAGCAUAGAGGGUGAGACUCCCGUUUGCCCGGUGCUUGAAGCGAGUUCCGACGAGUCGAGUUGUUUGGGAUUGCAGCUCAAAGCGGGUGGUAAAUUCCAUCUCAAGCUAAAUACUGGUGGGAAACCGAUAGCGUACAAGUACCGUGAGGGAAAGAUGCAAAGAACUUUGAAAAGAGAGUUAAAGAGUACCUGAAAUUGCUGAAAAGGAAGCGAAGGAAACUAGUGCCAAGCUGAACUAUAUUUCCCUUCUCGCUUGCGGGUAGGGCGCUGUGGUUAGCGGAGUUCUUUUUGGUUGAGUUGGACGGAAGGACAGCAGUGACUGUUUGUCGCAGCCUGCCGUGCCUGACUGGACCAAAGGGAACAAAAUGGUUUUCUUUGCCCCGUCUAGAAACACGGACCAAGGAGUCUAACAUAUAUGCGAGUACAGGAGUUUGAGCCUCCCGUGCGAAAUGAAAGUGAUAGUGGCUGGAAUGCAUUGCACAGUCCGCCGGCCUCAAUCCUUCGGGAGAACGGUCUGAGUGUGAGCUUACAUGUUGGGACCCGAAAGAUGGUGAACUAUGCUUGAGUAGGGUGAAGCCAGGGGAAACUCUGGUGGAGGCUCGUAGCGAUUCUGACGUGCAAAUCGAUCGUCGAACUUGAGUAUAGGGGCGAAAGACUAAUCGAACUAUCUAGUAGCUGGUUCCCUCCGAAAUUUCCCUUAGGAUAGCUGCGAUCGGCUUUGUAACUAAUUUUGUUAGGUAAA
rnacentral:rRNA from 1 species